AACGAACGCUGGCGGCAUGCCUAACACAUGCAAGUCGAACGAGACCUUCGGGUCUAGUGGCGCACGGGUGCGUAACGCGUGGGAAUCUGCCCUUGGGUUCGGAAUAACAGUUGGAAACGACUGCUAAUACCGGAUGAUGACGUAAGUCCAAAGAUUUAUCGCCCAAGGAUGAGCCCGCGUAGGAUUAGCUAGUUGGUGAGGUAAAGGCUCACCAAGGCGACGAUCCUUAGCCGGUCUGAGAGGAUGAUCAGCCACACUGGGACUGAGACACGGCCCAGACUCCUACGGGAGGCAGCAGUGGGGAAUAUUGGACAAUGGGCGAAAGCCUGAUCCAGCAAUGCCGCGUGAGUGAUGAAGGCCUUAGGGUUGUAAAGCUCUUUUACCCGGGAUGAUAAUGACAGUACCGGGAGAAUAAGCUCCGGCUAACUCCGUG
rnacentral:rRNA from 1 species